rnacentral:rRNA from 1 species
UUAAAUUAAUAAGGGCGCAUGGUGGAUGCCUUGGCAUUAGAAGACGAAGAAGGACGUGGCAAACUACGAUAUGCUUCGGGGAGAUGUAAGCAAUCUUUGAUCCGGAGAUCUCCGAAUGAGGAAACUCGGUAGCGGCAAACCGCUAUCAUCAUAUAAUGAAUACAUAGUUAUAUGAGGACAACCCAGUGAACUGAAACAUCUUAGUAACUGGAGGAAAAGAAAGAAAAAUCGAUUACCUUAGUAGUGGCGAGCGAAACGGUAACAGCCCAAACCAGUCUUAGGACUGGGGUUGUAGGACAUCACAAUUAAGAAGUUACAAAGUUACAACAUAGCAGAAUAUUCUGGAAAGAAUAUCCAUAGAAGGUGAAAGACCUGUAUGCGAAAUGUUGUGAUCUUCGUGAUGUAUCCUGAGUAAGUCGGGACACGUGAAAUCUUGACUGAAUCUGCGGGGACCAUCCCGUAAGGCUAAAUACUCUCUAAUGACCGAUAGUGAACAAGUACCGUGAGGGAAAGGUGAAAAGAACCCCGGGAGGGGAGUGAAAUAGAGAUUCUGAAACCGUGUGCUUACAAAAAGUUCGAGCCCGUUAAUGGGUGAGAGCGUGCCUUUUGCAGAAUGAGCCGGCGAGUUAUGUUAUCAUGCAAGGUUAAGAAGAAGAUUCGGAGCCGAAGCGAAAGCGAGUCUUAAUAGGGCGAAUAAGUAUGGUGGCAUAGACCCGAAACCGAGUGAUCUAUCCAUGAGCAGGUUGAAGUUGGGGUGAUACCUAAUGGAGGACCGAACCCACGUGUGUUGCAAAACGCGGGGAUGACUUGUGGAUAGCGGAGAAAUUCCAAUCGAACUCGGAUAUAGCUGGUUCUCCCCGAAAUAGGUUUAGGCCUAGCCUUCUAAUUAGCUACCUGGAGGUAGAGCACUGAAUGUGGAAUGGCCGCGUCUAGCGGUACUGACUGCAAUCAAACUCCGAAUGCCAGGCAAGUAUGUAGAGGAGUCAGUGUAUGGGUGAUAACGUCCAUACGCGAGAGGAAAUGAAUCCUGACCAUCGGUUAAGGUCCCAAAGUUUAUGCUAAGUGGAAAAUGAUGUGGAGUCGCAUGAACAGCUAGGAGGUUGGCUUAGAAGCAGCCAUCCUUUAAAGAGUGCGUAAUAGCUCACUAGUCGAGUGGCUCUGCGCAGAACAUGUACCGGGGCUUAAGCAUAACACCGAAACUGUGGAUGUUAGUUUUUAAUUAACAUGGUAGGGGAGCGUUCUAAGGGCGUUGAAGAUAGAUCGUGAGGACUAUUGGAGCGCUUAGAAGUGAGAAUGCCGGCGUGAGUAACGUAAGGAAGGUGAGAAUCCUUCCCACUGAUUGACUAAGGGUUCCUGGGUCAAGUUCGUCUUCCCAGGGUAAGUCAGGACCUAAGGCGAGGCCGAAAGGCGUAGUCGAUGGACAACAGGUUUAUAUUCCUGUACCACCUAUAUGACUGAUGGAGUGACAAAGAAGGCUAAUCAGAGCCAAUUAUUGGAUUUUGGUCUAAGCACAAAGGAGUGUUGGGUAAGCAAAUCUACCAACUAUAACUCUGAAGUGUGAUGGGGAAAAAGUUCUACGGAACUUCAACUCUGAUGAAGCCAAGCUUUCAAGAAAAACUUCUAGGGCUAAUCAUAUAGGUGCCUGUACUCAGAACCGACACUGGUAGUCAAGGAGAGAAUCCUAAGGUGAGCGAGAUAACUAUGGUUAAGGAACUCGGCAAAAUGACCCCGUAACUUCGGAAUAAGGGGAGGUGUAGCGAUACACCCGCAGGAAAUAGGUCCAGGCAACUGUUUACCAAAAACACAGGUCUCUGCUAAAGCGUAAGCUGAUGUAUAGGGGCUGACGCCUGCCCAGUGCUGGAAGGUUAAGAGGAGAUGUUAGUUGGACGCAAGUCGAUAACAACGAAGCUUCGAAUUGAAGCCCCAGUGAACGGCGGCCGUAACUAUAACGGUCCUAAGGUAGCGAAAUUCCUUGUCAGGUAAGUUCUGACCCGCACGAAAGGCGUAAUGAUCUGGACGCUGUCUCAACCAUAGACUCGGUGAAAUCUUAAUACCUGUGAAAAUGCAGGUUACCCGCUACAGGACAAAAAGACCCCGUGGAGCUUUACUGCAACUUGAUAUUGAAAUCAGAUGUAACAUGUAGAGGAUAGGUGGGAGACUUUGAAGUUAGGACGUCAGUUCUAAUGGAGUCAACCUUGGAAUACCACCCUUGUUAUGUUUGACUUCUAACUUGCGCCCAUUAUCUGGGUGGAGGACAGUGUCUGGUGGGCAGUUUGACUGGGGCGGUCGCCUCCCAAAGAGUAACGGAGGCGCCCAAAGGUUCCCUCAGAAUGGUUGGAAAUCAUUCGUAGAGUGUAAUGGCAGAAGGGAGCUUAACUGCGAGACCUACAAGUCAAGCAGAUGCGAAAGCAGGGCAUAGUGAUCUUGCGAUCCCGAAUGGAAGGGUCGUUGCUUAACGGAUAAAAGUUACCCCGGGGAUAACAGGCUGAUCCCACCCAAUAGUUCAUAUAGACGGUGGGGUUUGGCACCUCGAUGUCGGCUCGUCGUAUCCUGGAGGUGGAAUCGCUUCCAAGGGUUGGGCUGUUCGCCCAUUAAAACGGCACGCGAGCUGGGUUCAGAACGUCGUGAGACAGUUCGGUCUCUAUCCGUAGUGGGCGUUAGAAAAUUGAGGAGAGCUUUUCCUAGUACGAGAGGACCGGAAAGGACGAACCGAUGGUGUAUCAGUUGUCUCGCCAGAGGCAGUGCUGAGUAGCUAUGUUCGGAAGGGAUAAUCGCUGAAGGCAUCUAAGCGAGAAGCCCUCUCCAAGAUGAGUUUUCUUUAUCUUCAAGAUAUAAGAUCCCUUGUAGACGACAAGGUUGAUAGGUUAGAUGUGUAAGCAUAGUGAUAUGUUGAGCUGACUAAUACUAAUAGAUCGAUAGUUU